rnacentral:rRNA from 1 species
UACAGAGGGUGCGAGCGUUAAUCGGAAUUACUGGGCGUAAAGCGUGCGUAGACGGCUAUCUAAGUCGGGUGUGAAAGCCCCGGGCUCAACCUGGGAAUUGCAUUCGAGACUGAAUAGCUAGGGUACGGUAGAGGGAAGUGGAAUUUCCGGUGUAGCGGUGAAAUGCGCAGAUAUCGGGAGGAACACCCGUAGCGAAGGCGGCACUCUGGGCCGGAACUGACGCUGAGGAGCGAAAGCGUGGGGAGCAAACAGG